rnacentral:rRNA from 1 species
AGUGAACGCUGGCGGUAGGCCUAACACAUGCAAGUCGAACGGCAGCACAGUAAGAGCUUGCUCUUACGGGUGGCGAGUGGCGGACGGGUGAGGAAUACAUCGGAAUCUACUUUUUCGUGGGGGAUAACGUAGGUAAACUUACGCUAAUACCGCAUACGACCUACGGGUGAAAGCAUGGGAUCUUCGGACCUUGCGCGAUUGAAUGAGCCGAUGUCGGAUUAGCUAGUUGGGGGUAAGGCCCACCAAGGGUACGAUCCGUAGCUGGUCUGAGAGGAUGAUCAGCCAAAAGAGAAAGUGAAAAACGGCCAGGAGACUGAGGGAAGGAACAGUGGGGAAAAAUUGGAAAAUGGGGGGAAGCUUGAACAAGCCAUACGAGGGGGUGAAGAAGGCCUUCGGGUUGUAAAGACCUUUUGUUGGGAAAGAAAAGCAGCAGGUUAAUACCCCGCUGUUCUGACGGUACCCAAAGAAUAAGCACCGGCUAACUUCGUG